UGCAGGGGUCGGGUGGGCCAGG
rnacentral:miRNA from 1 species